ensembl:lncRNA
UGAAGUUAUGGAAAUAGAUCAAUCACAGCUGAUUCCCAUCUAGGAAACACACUCAGGUAUUGAGGUUCUUUCAAUCACAUGACCAUAUAGUAUACAGUAAAAGAGGACCUCUUUGGGCUGAUCUUGUGUGGAAAAGGAACAAUAUAGAGCAACAAAAAGAAAGUUAGAAAAAUGCCUACACAAGGGAGAGGAAGACGAGUAGCAGGACAAGGGAGAGGAAGACGAGUACCAGGACAAGGGAGAGGAAGACGAGUACCAGGACAAGGGAGAGGAAGACGAUACCCAGGACAAGGGAGAGGAAGACGAGUACCA